rnacentral:rRNA from 1 species
GAUGAACGCUGGCGGCGUGCCUAAUACAUGCAAGUCGAGCGAACAGACGAGGAGCUUGCUCCUCUGACGUUAGCGGCGGACGGGUGAGUAACACGUGGAUAACCUACCUAUAAGACUGGGAUAACUUCGGGAAACCGGAGCUAAUACCGGAUAAUAUAUUGAACCGCAUGGUUCAAUAGUGAAAGACGGUUUUGCUGUCACUUAUAGAUGGAUCCGCGCCGCAUUCGCUAGUUGGUAAGGUAACGGCUUACCAAGGCAACGAUGCGUAGCCGACCUGAGAGGGUGAUCGGCCACACUGGAACUGAGACACGGUCCAGACUCCUACGGGAGGCAGCAGUAGGGAAUCUUCCGCAAUGGGCGAAAGCCUGACGGAGCAACGCCGCGUGAGUGAUGAAGGUCUUCGGAUCGUAAAACUCUGUUAUUAGGGAAGAACAAAUGUGUAAGUAACUAUGCACGUCUUGACGGUACCUAAUCAGAAAGCCGCGGCUAACUACGUG